CGCUGCCCUGGCGUCAUUCCGCUGUGUCUGCCAGCCCAGCAGCGAUUUCUUAGGCUUUGGCUCUCCCUGCUGUCGGCUCUCCAUUCUUUCCGGUGCUGGUCUGGGGUUUGCAGUUGCUUUUAAUCCAGUGAGGGUUUGGGGGUCAUCUGAAGUAAUAAUCGUCGCUGCCUCCCAAAUCCUGACAUAGUGGUUCGUAAGCAGAGAUACACAUCAGAAUCACUUGCGGCGGUGUGCCUCUUCAAAACACCCCUGGCCCCAGCCCCUGGCAGGAGCACAGCUGCUUGAACUUCACAGUGGCCUUGGGGACUUCCCCUUGCCCAUUUCCUCAUUCAUCGGACAGUGAACCUCUCAAAGUGCAGGUGAGUAUUGUUCCGGGGCCCAGAGAGAAGAGCC
rnacentral:lncRNA from 1 species